AACGAACGCUGGCGGCAGGCCUAACACAUGCAAGUCGAGCGCUCACCUUCGGGUGGGAGCGGCGCACGGGUGAGUAACACGUGGGAACCUACCUUGAAGUACGGAAUAGCUGAGGGAAACUUCAGCUAAUACCGUAUACGCCCUACGGGGGAAAGAUUUAUCGCUUCAAGACGGGCCCGCGUUGGAUUAGCUAGUUGGUGAGGUAAUGGCUCACCAAGGCAACGAUCCAUAGCUGAUUUGAGAGAAUGAUCAGCCACACUGGGACUGAGACACGGCCCAGACUCCUACGGGAGGCAGCAGUGGGGAAUAUUGGACAAUGGGCGCAAGCCUGAUCCAGCCAUGCCGCGUGAGUGAUGAAGGCCUUCGGGUUGUAAAGCUCUUUCAGAUGGGACGAUGAUGACGGUACCAUCAGAAGAGGCCCCGGCUAACUUCGUGCCAGCCGCCGCGGUAACAC
rnacentral:rRNA from 1 species